UACGUAGGGUGCUAGCGUUGUCCGGAAUUAUUGGGCGUAAAGCGCACGUAGGCGGUCUUUUAAGUCGGGGGUGAAAUCCUGGAGCUCAACUCCAGAACUGCCUUCGAUACUGGAAGACUCGAGUCCGGGAGAGGUGAGUGGAACUGCGAGUGUAGAGGUGAAAUUCGUAGAUAUUCGCAAGAACACCAGUGGCGAAGGCGGCUCACUGGCCCGGUACUGACGCUGAGGUGCGAAAGCGUGGGGAGCAAACAGG
rnacentral:rRNA from 1 species